rnacentral:rRNA from 1 species
CGCACGCGCGCUACACUGACAGAGCCAGCGAGUUCUCUCCUCCACCGGAAGGUGUGGGUAAUCUUGUGAAACUCUGUCGUGAUGGGGAUAGAACAUUGCAAUUAUUGUUCUUCAACGAGGAAUACCUAGUAAGCGUGAUUCAUCAGAUCGCGUUGAUUACGUCCCUGCCCUUUGUACACACCGCCCGUCGCUACUACCGAUUGAAUGGCUUAGUGAGGCCUCCGGAUUGGCUAUUGGGAUCUCGCGAGAGAACCUGACUGCCGAGAAGUUGUACGAACUUGGUCAUUUAGAGGAAGUAAAAGUCGUAACAAGGUUUCCGUAGGUGAACCUGCGGAAGGAUCAUUAGUGAAUUUAGAGCGUAACUUCGGUUAGCUCAACCUUCAUUUUCCAACUCUGUGCACUAUUGGCGGACUGAGAGUAAGCAAUUGCUAUUCAGUCUGCGGCUCACUAUUAAACAUUAGUUAAAGUAUGUAAAUAAAAACAAAACAAAAAAAACUUUCAACAACGGAUCUCUUGGCUCUCGCAUCGAUGAAGAACGCAGCGAAAUGUGAUAAGUAAUGUGAAUUGCAGAAUUCAGUGAAUCAUCGAAUCUUUGAACGCACCUUGCGCUCUCUGGUAUUCCGGAAAGCAUGUCUGUUUGAGUGUCAUGAACUCUUCAACCUACCGGUUUCUAGUAAAUCGGAUUAAUGUUUGGAUUCUGAACGCCUGCUGGCCUUUAUUGGCGAAGCUCGUUCGUAAAUGAUUAGCAUCUCAUAUUC